rnacentral:rRNA from 1 species
GACGUAGGUGGCGAACGUUAUCCGGAAUCAUUGGGCGUAAAGGGUGCGUAGAUGGCAUGAUAAGUUAUUAGUGGGAAAUCGAGGCUCAACCUCGUGGAAGCUAGUAAUACUGUUUUGCUUGAGUACAGAAGAGGUUAACGGAACUCCAUGUGGAGCGGUAAAAUGCGUAGAUAUAUGGAAGAACACCAAUAACGGCGAAGGCAGUUAACUAUUCUGUUACUGACAUUGAGGCACGAAAGCUAGGGGAGCAAACAGG